UACGGGGGGGGCAAGCGUUGUUCGGAAUUACUGGGCGUAAAGGGCCAGUAGGCGGCCAACUAAGUCACACGUGAAAUCCCCAGGCUUAACCUGGGAACUGCGUGUGAUACUGGAUGGCUUGAAUUCGGGAGAGGGAUGCAGAAUUCCAGGUGUAGCGGUGAAAUGCGUAGAUAUCUGGAGGAAUACCGGUGGCGAAGGCGGCAUCCUGGACCGACAUUGACGCUGAACGGCGAAAGCUAGGGGAGCAAACGGG
rnacentral:rRNA from 1 species